AUGGCGGCCCACCGUCUCGCCCUGUCUGUGCUCGUCCUUGCCGUCUUACUGCUCGCGCACGGCGGCCACGUCGCAGGAGAGCCGUGGCCACUGUGCGGCGACGGCGGCGAAUUCGACGACAAGAGCCAGUACCAGGCCAACCUCAACCUCACCGCCGCCGCGCUCCCCAAGAACGCGUCGGCGUCGCCCAACCUCUUCGCCACCGCCGAGGCCGGCGCCGUCCCGGAGAAGGUCACGGCCCUCGCGCUCUGCCGCGGUGACGCCAGCUCCAGGGCCUGCUCCAGCUGCCUCGUCAACGCCUUCGCCAACCUCCAGAACGUCUGCCCCGGCUCCAAGGACGCCGUCAUCUACUACGACGCCUGCAUGCUCCGCUACUCCGACGUCCAGUUCCUCCCCGCCGACGACUCCGGCCCCAUGGGCCUGGACCUCAGCAUCACGGUCCGCAACUCGGGGAACGCCACGUCGGAGCCGGGACGGUACCAGCGCACCGUGGCCACGCUCCUGAACGCCACCGCCGACUACGCCGCGUACAACUCCACGCGGCGGUACGCCACCGGCCAAGCCGACCUGGACCGGGAGUUCCCCAAGGUGUACAGCUGGGCGCAGUGCACCCCGGACCUGACGCCGGGCCGGUGCCGGGACUGCCUCGCCCAGAUCUUAGCUCAGCUGCCGUUGCAGUUCAUGGACAGUAUCGGCGGCAGGCUUCUUGCUCCCCGAUGCAGCUUCCGCUACGAGACCAAGCCCUUCAUGAAUGGCCCGGUGAUCGUGAAGCUGCCGGCGCGAUCUGGAGCGCCGGCGCCGGCCGUAGUGCCCAUGGCUCCUGCAUCGGCGACAUCAGAGGGGAGAAAGUACAGUGCUCCUGGCAUGGUACUUAUAAUUCUGUUGCCCACGAUAGCAGCCAUAAACCUCGUCGCUUGGCUCUUUACAUUGAGGAGGAGGCGGCGCCAGGCAUUCACAAAGGCAAAGCAACCAGAUCAAAAUUAUUCCAUCGAUGAAGCGCAAGACAUCGAAAGUGUAGAGUCAAUGUUAAUUGACAUUUCAACUUUGCGAGCGGCAACCAAGGAUUUUGCGGAGAACAACAAACUUGGUGAAGGCGGAUUUGGCCCCGUGUUCAAGGGUACUCUCUUGAACGGCGAUGAGAUCGCUGUGAAGAGACUCUCCAAGAGCUCAACGCAAGGGGUGGAGGAGCUCAAGAAUGAGCUCGCCUUGGUUGCAAAGCUGAAGCACAAGAACCUUGUAAGACUGGUCGGCGUCUGCUUGGAGCAACAAGAGAGGCUGCUCAUCUAUGAGUUUGUUCCUAACCGAAGCCUCGAUCUGAUCCUUUUCGAUGAAGAGAAACGUCAGCAACUGGAUUGGGAAACAAGGUGCAAGAUCAUAAACGGAGUCGCUCGAGGCUUGCAGUACCUCCAUGAAGACUCUCAGCUCAAAGUAGUCCAUCGUGACCUCAAAGCGAGCAAUGUCUUGCUAGACAUGAACAUGAACCCCAAGAUUUCAGAUUUUGGCCUCGCCAAAAUUUUCGGGAGAGACCAGACACAGGGCGUGACGAACCGCAUCGUCGGCACACAUGGAUACAUGGCGCCCGAGUACGUGAUGCGCGGGAACUACUCUGCGAAAUCAGACACGUUCAGCUUUGGCGUAUUGCAACUCCCAACAAUCUCAGGAUCUCCUGACGACCGUAUGGGAGCAUUGGACGGCUGGAACAGUACUGGAGAUGCUAGACCCGUGCAUGAACAAGAGCUUCUCGGAGAGCGAUGCGCUGAGGUGCAUCCAUGUCGGGCUUCUCUGCAUCCAGGGCAACCCAACAGACCGGCCGAUGAUGUCCACGGUGGCCAUGAUGCUCGGCAGCGACACAUUCUCUCUCCCGGCUCCCUCCAAGCCGGCGUUCUACUCUAG
rnacentral:rRNA from 1 species